rnacentral:rRNA from 1 species
UACAGAGGGGGCGAACGUUGUUCGGAAUUACUGGGCGUAAAGGGCGCGUAGGCGGCCCGCUAAGUCGAACGUGAAAUCCCCGGGCUCAACCCGGGAACUGCGUCCGAUACUGGUGGGCUUGAAUCCGGAAGAGGCGAGUGGAAUUCCUGGUGUAGCGGUGAAAUGCGCAGAUAUCAGGAGGAACACCGAUGGCGAAGGCAGCUCGCUGGGACGGUACUGACGCUGAGGCGCGAAAGCGUGGGGAGCAAACAGG